GUGCUCGCUUUAGUAGCAUAUAUACUAAAAUUGGAAUGAUACAGAGAAGAUUAGCAUGACCUCUACGCAAGGAUGACACGCAAAUUCAUGAAGUGCUCCAUAUUAAA
ensembl:snRNA U6 U6 spliceosomal RNA